rnacentral:tRNA from 1 species
UGAUAAUUAGUUUAACAUAAAAUAAAUGAUUUCGACUCAUUAGAUUAUGAUAGUUUCAUAAUUAUCAA